UACGUAGGGGGCUAGCGUUGUCCGGAAUCAUUGGGCGGAAAGAGCGUGUAGGCGGUCCGGUAAGUCCGCUGUGAAAGUCGGGGGCUCAACCCUCGAAUGCCGGUGGAUACUGUCGGGCUAGAGUGCGGAAGAGGCGAGUGGAAUUCCUGGUGUAGCGGUGAAAUGCGCAGAUAUCAGGAGGAACACCGGUGGCGAAGGCGGCAUCCUGGACCGGCAUUGACGCUGAGGCGCGAAGGCCAGGGGAGCAAACGGG
rnacentral:rRNA from 1 species